GACGAACGCUGGCGGCGUGCUUAACACAUGCAAGUCGAACGGAAAGGCCCUGCUUUUGUGGGGUGCUCGAGUGGCGAACGGGUGAGUAACACGUGAGUAACCUGCCCUUGACUUUGGGAUAACUUCAGGAAACUGGGGCUAAUACCGGAUAGGAGCUCCUGCUGCAUGGUGGGGGUUGGAAAGUUUCGGCGGUUGGGGAUGGACUCGCGGCUUAUCAGCUUGUUGGUGGGGUAGUGGCUUACCAAGGCUUUGACGGGUAGCCGGCCUGAGAGGGUGACCGGCCACAUUGGGACGGAGAUACGGCCCAGACUCCUACGGGAGGCAGCAGUGGGGAAUAUUGCACAAGGGGCGGAAGCCGGAUGCAGCAACGCCGCGUGCGGGAUGACGGCCUUCGGGUGGUAAACCGCUUUCGCCUGUGACGAAGCGUGAGUGACGGUAAUGGGUAAAGAAGCACCGGCUAACUACGUG
rnacentral:rRNA from 1 species